rnacentral:rRNA from 1 species
AUUGAACGCUGGCGGCAUGCCUUACACAUGCAAGUCGAACGGCAGCACGGGUGCUUGCACCUGGUGGCGAGUGGCGAACGGGUGAGUAAUACAUCGGAACAUGUCCUGUAGUGGGGGAUAGCCCGGCGAAAGCCGGAUUAAUACCGCAUACGAUCUACGGAUGAAAGCGGGGGACCUUCGGGCCUCGCGCUAUAGGGUUGGCCGAUGGCUGAUUAGGUAGUUGGUGGGGUAAAGGCCUACCAAGGCGACGAUCAGUAGCUGGUCUGAGAGGACGACCAGCCACACGGGGACUGAGAAACGGCCCAGACUCCUACGGGAGGCAGCAGUGGGGAAUUUUGGACAAUGGGCGAAAGCCUGAUCCAGCAAUGCCGCGUGUGUGAAGAAGGCCUUCGGGUUGUAAAGCACUUUUGUCCGGAAAGAAAUACUUGGCCCUAAUACGGUCGGGGGAUGACGGUACCGGAAGAAUAAGCACCGGCUAACUACGUG